AUUGAACGCUGGCGGAAUGCUUUACACAUGCAAGUCGAACGGCAGCACGGACUUCGGUCUGGUGGCGAGUGGCGAACGGGUGAGUAAUGUAUCGGAACGUGCCCAGUCGUGGGGGAUAACGUAGUGAAAAUUACGCUAAUACCGCAUACGAUCUAUGGAUGAAAGCGGGGGAUCGCAAGACCUCGCGCGAUUGGAGCGGCCGAUAUCAGAUUAGGUGGUUGGUGGGGUAAAGGCCCACCAAGCCAACGAUCUGGAGCUGGUCUGAGAGAACGACCAGCCACACUGGAACUGAGACACGGUCCAGACUCCUACGGGAGGCAGCAGUGGGGAAUUUUGGACAAUGGGCGAAAGCCUGAUCCAGCCAUUCCGCGUGCAGGAUGAAGGCCCUCGGGUUGUAAACUGCUUUUGUACAGAACGAAAAGGUUUCUACUAAUACUAGGAGCUCAUGACGGUACUGUAAGAAUAAGCACCGGCUAACUACGUGCCAGCCGCCGCGGUAA
rnacentral:rRNA from 1 species